rnacentral:rRNA from 1 species
AGUGAACGCUGGCGGUAGGCCUAACACAUGCAAGUCGAACGGCAGCACAGUGAGAGCUUGCUCUUACGGGUGGCGAGUGGCGGACGGGUGAGGAAUACAUCGGAAUCUACUUUUUCGUGGGGGAUAACGUAGGGAAACUUACGCUAAUACCGCAUACGACCUACGGGUGAAAGCAGGGGAUCUUCGGACCUUGCGCGACUGAAUGAGCCGAUGUCGGAUUAGCUAGUUGGCGGGGUAAAGGCCCACCAAGGCGACGAUCCGUAGCUGGUCUGAGAGGAUGAUCAGCCACACUGGAACUGAGACACGGUCCAGACUCCUACGGGAGGCAGCAGUGGGGAAUAUUGGACAAUGGGCGCAAGCCUGAUCCAGCCAUACCGCGUGAGUGAUGAAGGCCUUCGGGUCGUAAAGCCCUUUUGUUGGGAAAGAAAAGCUGUAGAUGAAUACCCCGCUGUUCUGACGGUACCCAAAGAAUAAGCACCGGCUAACUUCGUG